UACGUAGGGGACGAGCGUUGUCCGGAGUUACUGGGCGUAAAGGGCCCGCAGGCGGUCUGCCGCGUUCGCGCUGACAGCUCCUGGCUUAACUGGGAGAGGAGUGAGAAGACGGGCAGACUCAGAGGACCAGAGAGGGACAUGGAACUCCGGGUGUAGUGGUGAAAUGCGUAGAUAUCCGGAAGAACACCAAAGGCGAAGGCAGUGUCCUGGCUGGUACCUGACGCUCGGGGGCGAAAGCUAGGGGAGCGAACGGG
rnacentral:rRNA from 1 species